UACGUAGGGUGCAAGCGUUAAUCGGAAUUACUGGGCGUAAAGCGUGCGCAGGCGGUGAUGUAAGACAGUUGUGAAAUCCCCGGGCUUAACCUGGGAACUGCAUUUGUGACUGCAUGGCUGGAGUGCGGCAGAGGGGGGGAUGGAAUUCCGCGUGUAGCAGUGAAAUGCGUAGAUAUGCGGAGGAACACCGAUGGCGAAGGCAA
rnacentral:rRNA from 1 species